GACGAACGCUGGCGGCGUGCUUAACACAUGCCAGUCGAACGGAAAGGCCCUGCUUUUGUGGGGUGCUCGAGUGGCGAACGGGUGAGUAACACGUGAGUAACCUGCCCUUGACUUUGGGAUAACUUCAGGAAACUGGGGCUAAUACCGGAUAGGAGCUCCUGCUGCAUGGUGGGGGUUGGAAAGUUUCGGCGGUUGGGGAUGGACUCGCGGCUUAUCAGCUUGUUGGUGGGGUAGUGGCUUACCAAGGCUUUGACGGGUAGCCGGCCUGAGAGGGUGACCGGCCACAUUGGGACUGAGAUACGGCCCAGACUCCUACGGGAGGCAGCAGUGGGGAAUAUUGCACAAUGGGCGGAAGCCUGAUGCAGCAACGCCGCGUGCGGGAUGACGGCCUUCGGGUUGUAAACCGCUUUCGCCUGUGACGAAGCGUGAGUGACGGUAAUGGGUAAAAAAGCACCGGCUAACUACGUG
rnacentral:rRNA from 1 species